rnacentral:tRNA from 1 species
GUGCACUUCCCUUGAUUGGUAAAAAGCAUCACUGAUGAAUUUUGAGGACAUGGGUUUGAAUCCCACAGUGCACA